UAAUACGUAGGGGGCAAGCGUUAUCCGGAUUUACUGGGUGUAAAGGGAGCGUAGGUGGUAAUGUAAGUCAGAUGUGAAAGCCUGGGGCUCAACCCCAUGAUUGCAUUUGAAACUAUGUUACUAGAGUGCAGGAGAGGUAAGUGGAAUUCCUAGUGUAGCGGUGAAAUGCGUAGAUAUUAGGAGGAACACCAGUGGCGAAGGCGGCUUACUGGACUGUAACUGACACUGAGGCUCGAAAGCGUGGGGAGCAAACAGG
rnacentral:rRNA from 1 species